UUAAGUCAAAUUUAUAUGGAGUUGGAACGUUUGCCUAUGUCUGCCGCUAAGGGCACUGAUCCAUCUGCAUACAAAUUUCAGGUA
rnacentral:pre_miRNA from 1 species